rnacentral:rRNA from 1 species
GGAUUCCCCUAGUAACUGCGAGUGAAGCGGGAAAAGCUCAAAUUUAAAAUCUGGCAGUCUUUGAUUGUCCGAGUUGUAAUCUAGAGAAGUGUUAUCCGCGUUGGACCGUGUACAAGUCUCCUGGAAUGGAGCGUCAUAGAGGGUGAGAAUCCCGUCUUUGACACGGACUACCAAGGCUUUUGUGAUGCGCUCUCAAAGAGUCGAGUUGUUUGGGAAUGCAGCUCAAAAUGGGUGGUAAAUUCCAUCUAAAGCUAAAUAUUGGCGAGAGACCGAUAGCGAACAAGUACCGUGAGGGAAAGAUGAAAAGAACUUUGGAAAGAGAGUUAAACAGUACGUGAAAUUGCUGAAAGGGAAACGCUUGAAGUCAGUCGCGUUGUUCAGAACUCAACCUUACUUUUGUGGGGUGUACUUUCUGUUUAACGGGUCAGUAUCAAUUUUGACUGUUGGAUAAAGUUCAUCGGAAUGUAGCUUCUUCGGAAGUGUUAUAGCCUUUGGUCGCAUACAACAGUUGGGAUUGAGGUACUCAGCACGCUGCAAAGCCGGGUUUCGACCACGUUCGUGCUUAGGAUACUGGCAUAAUGGCUUUAAUCGACCCGUCUUGAAACACGGACCAAGGAGUCUAACAUGCCUGCGAGUGUUUGGGUGGAAAACCCGAGCGCAUAAUGAAAGUGAAAGUUGAGAUCCCUGUCGUGGGGAGCAUCGACGCCCGGACCAGACCUUCUGUGACGGAUCCGCGGUAGAGCAUGUAUGUUGGGACCCGAAAGAUGGUGAACUAUGCCUGAAUAGGGUGAAGCCAGAGGAAACUCUGGUGGAGGCUCGUAGCGAUUCUGACGUGCAAAUCGAUCGUCAAAUUUGGGUAUAGGGGCGAAAGACUAAUCGAACCAUCUAGUAGCUGGUUCCUGCCGAAGUUUCCCUCAGGAUAGCAGAAACUCAUUUCAGAUUUAUGUGGUAAAGCGAAUGAUUAGAGGCCUUGGGGUUGAAACAACCUUAACCUAUUCUCAAACUUUAAAUAUGUAAGAACAAGCCGUCUCUUGAUUGGACCGC